ACGGGAAUAGCUCAGUUGGUAGAGCAUCGGUCUCCAAAACCGAGGGUCGUGGGUUCGAGCCCUGCUUCCCGUGCUA
rnacentral:tRNA from 4 species